rnacentral:rRNA from 1 species
UAGGGAAUCUUCCAACAAUGGACGCAAGUCUGAUGGAGCAACGCCGCGUGAGUGAAGAAGGCUUUCGGGUCGUAAAACUCUGUUAUUGAAGAAGAACGUGUGUGACAGUAACUGGUCAUGCAGUGACGGUAUUCAAUCAGAAAGUCACGGCUAACUACGUGCCAGCAGCCGCGGUAAUACGUAGGUGGAAACGCGUUGUCCGGAUUUAUUGGGCGUA